UAAGGAAUCUUUCGCAAUGGGGGCAACCCUGACGAAGCAACACCGCGUGGAGGAUGAAGGCGUUUUCGUCGUAAACUCCUUUUUUGAGGGAAUAAAUCUGAAGGUACCUCAAGAAUAAGCAUCGGCUAACUAUGUGCCAGCAGCCGCGGUAAGACAUAGGAUGCAAGCGUUAUCCGGAAUUAUUGGGCGUAAAGAGUUCGUAGGUGGUUUGUUAAGUUGGAUGUUAAAUCUUUGGGCUUAACCCAAAAUCAGUAUCCAAAACUGACAGACUAGAGACAGAUAGAGGCAGGUAGAAUUCUGUAUGUAGGGGUAAUAUCCGUAGAUAUACAGAGGAAUACCAAAAGCGAAGGCAGCCUGCUGGAUCUGUUCUGACACUCAAGAACGAAAGCGUGGGGAGCAAACGGG
rnacentral:rRNA from 1 species